GAGGUGAGAUUUCCUAUUACCUUUCAACUCUUGGGGUUUUUCUCAGGGUUCUAGUUAGGCCUUGAUAUGGCAGUGGUAAACUGGAUGGCGUGUGGAUUUGUUUGUGAUGCCACGAGAUUAGUCGUAAUUUGUUAGUGCUCCAUUGAUGUGUGUGCUUUUCAUUUGUGGGGACUGGGGGUUGGUGGUUCCUAGAGAGUAGACAAAGUGAUCACCACUAAUCUAAGGCCAGCAGUAUAAUAAUAUUUUAACAGUACGGACUUUUCUAUAUUAUAUACCCGGAUAAUACCGUCAAAUUGGGUUUGUUCGUAUUCUUGUUGGUGGGUCGGCGUUACUUGACAUCCUCUAGAUCUAGAGGUGGUUAAAUAUCCGUGACCUCAUUUACAUUUCCGUAAGACCUUGUUUAUUUACCAUAAACAUGCUAAUUGUUAUUUUUUAGUUAUUGUUGGCUCAUGUGUUUGUGUCAGUUGAGUCACAUAGGAUUCAUUUUCAUGCAUGCUGUAUGGUGUGAAGUUUGUUAUCCAUUCAUGCACAAGGAUAUUAUUUUUAAGGAUGUCGCCUUAUCCUUUUUCUUUGUAGUCUGGCUAUUCUCAAAGUAGUCACUGAUUUACCAUGGUUGUUUGCGGCAUUUCCCUGUUCAGGGUUUUGAUAGUUACUGAUCUUUCAUUUUAUCAUUUUUAUUUUUUACUCAGGAUAGUAGUUCUCAUCCUAAUCGAUGUCAUACUCUAAACCAUGACAAAUAAACAAUUAUUUUCUGAAUUAAUGGAAGAAGCCUUGGGGACCUGGAAGAAGCCUUGGGGACCGGGGUUGUUUCCGUUCUCUAUGCAUGAUAUAGUUUGAUCUGUUGGAUUGUGCCAUGUAGGAUAUUUGUUGUGCUUUGUGAAUAUAAACUUAAGAAAGCAUCCAUUAUUUACAAGUCUAGUUGGUUCAGAUAAAGUAUAUUAGGGCCUCCCAACUUAUUGCAUUGACAUAAAAUGAUAAUUAGGGGUUCAAUCUGAAGGCAGUUGGAAAGCUUAAUGAAAAAACAGUGGGCCGAUAUAUAUCUAUAUGUUAUGUUUUAGGAAACUUUAGAAAGGUGACUUGGUGCUUGUUUUAGGAUAUAAUAACUGUUAUGGAUAUAUCUUUUUUUAUAAAUACAUAAUGUUCAGUAAUUAUUAUGCACCUUCAACAAUAUCACCGAUGAUAGUAAUAUAUAUCAUAUAUGUAACAUUAUACAGUGCUUAAAAUUUGCUUGUGCAUAUCUGGCUCAUCUUUAUAUUUAUUUCUAAAAUGGAGAGAUGAUUAAGUGUUUUUUUAUGUUCCAUUUUAUAUUCAUUGUGUUGUUAAUUGAGAUUGUUUUCAUCCUUCCUUGACCUUUUGCAGGACAAACCUGCACCCCCACCUGAGGGCCGUCUUCCUGAUGCUACCAAGGGUAUGUUGCCAGUUUACACUACUAGUCUCUUCCAGGAACUAUAGAAACAUUCACCACUAUUGCCAUAAAAGAAACCCUUGCAAAUAAGUCAUCCUUUAAAAUGUUUUUGUUUCUGCAAUAGUUGAGGUGUUAUUUCUGUGUAGCACAUCUAAAAUGCUUAGUUAUGGUAGAAGUUUUUCCCACUGCACACUUGACAAAUGAUUCCUGUGUUGUUGUAGGCAUGUUGUAUUUUUCUGCAUGCUUCAUUUCUGAUAUGAUCCUGCUUUGACCUUGUUCUAGUAAACCUCAUGUAAAGCACCAUUGCUUACACUUUGAGCUUGAUUGCUUUACCAGG
rnacentral:lncRNA from 1 species